GCAUUUUAUGACAGGAAAGAAGGUUAGCACUCCCCUUGCUAAAGAUGGAAGAUGUCUUAGUGACCUUUACAAACACAUAUGGUUAAGGCAUUGCCACCUACUCUAUGGCAUCUAACCAAGGAGAAUU